GCAUUGAUGGUUCAGUGGUAGAAUUCUCGCCUGCCAUGCGGGAGACCCGGGUCCGAUUCCCAACCAAUGCA
rfam:Danio rerio chromosome 4, GRCz11 reference primary assembly.